GCUACUACCGAUUGAAUGGUUUAGUGAGGACUCCUGAUUGGCGCCGCCGCCCCGGCAACGGAGCAGCGGACUGCCGAAAAGUUGUUCAAACUUGAUCAUUUAGAGGAAGUAAAAGUCGUAACAAGGUUUCCGUAGGUGAACCUGCAGAAGGAUCAUGCGGGCCAGCUACUACCGAUUGAAUGGUUUAGUGAGGACUCCUGAUUGGCGCCGCCGCCCCGGCAACGGAGCAGCGGACUGCCGAAAAGUUGUUCAAACUUGAUCAUUUAGAGGAAGUAAAAGUCGUAACAAGGUUUCCGUAGGUGAACCUGCAGAAGGAUCA
rnacentral:misc_RNA from 1 species